UACGUAGGGUGCGAGCGUUGUCCGGAAUUAUUGGGCGUAAAGAGCUCGUAGGCGGUUUGUUGCGUCGGCCGUGAAAACCUGCAGCUUAACUGUGGGCCUGCGGCCGAUACGGGCAGACUUGAGUUCGGUAGGGGAGACUGGAAUUCCUGGUGUAGCGGUGAAAUGCGCAGAUAUCGGGAAGAACACCUAUGGCGAAGGCAGCUCUCUGGGACGGUACUGACGCUGAGACGCGAAAGCGUGGGGAGCGAACAGG
rnacentral:rRNA from 1 species